AGGAGAUCUGGCAGCUCUGCCUCCAGACUCAUGUGGACAGUGGAUCUCUUGGGACAACUGGUUGAAAGUCUCUCUGUCUCUGCUGUUACUCCUGGCUGUGUGUGAGUGGCUGAGUGGGCUGGUGCUCUGCUGUGUCUCCAGAGUGAUUUAUCAGUUUUGCAGGGAGGAGACAGAGGGGGAGAGAACUCCGGUAGCAGGGCAGGCAGCAGUUACCAGCCUGCUGGCUGGGUGUGUUAACUCCACAUCUGACCUCUCUGGGAACGGUGCAGCCUCCACUCCUCUCCUCUCCUCCCCUCCCGGCAGACUGUGGGAACACGGGAGACAGCUCUUCAUUUUAAACCCUCUCUCUGCUUCUUUCUGGGCUGUUGAGCUCCAGGAAGCGGCCCUGGACAGAGCAGAACAUGACAAGACAGGACAGUUUUGGCAGUGAGACCUCAGUGGGAGACCUGGGCUCUGAGGAUUGCACUGCUGACUGAUUCUUGGAUCUGAAAUGGCACAGUUGGCAGAGUUACGCUCAGUCAGGCAGCCGAGCAGUUGUCUCGUCUGUCAUUAGCCAGUCAGAUGGUUAGUUAGCCAGCUAGUAAAUUGAUCAGUGGUGUCCUCCCCAUAGAGUCAACUCUUCCACUUUGUGCGUAUCCUCAUCUGAACUCUAAGGUGACUCAGACUUGCCGAGUAGCAAAAGCGGACCUGUGGGCAUGGUCACAGGUGCUCCACAGCUGCUGCGGACGAAGGCAUCUGGAGCCUAGGAAGAUGUUGGACAAGAUACAGAGGAUGGAGAAGGGCAGAGAGGUGCAGAGUGGAUCCAGUCUGCCCCUGGCUGUGGUGGGGAGGGUUCCUGGCACCGUGAUUUGAUGCACAUAGAGAAACAAAAAUCACAUUGCCAGGGAUUUCCACUCUUUCACAGCUCAGCAGGUGACCGCAUUAUAUUUCCACAGUGGGAAGCUUGUGUGUUGUCUUCUUGGCUGUUCUGUUUUUCAGUUAUUUUCUGGCACUGUAUGUUGCUAUGAAGUUGAAGGAAUAUACAUUGUAGGUGGUUAGACACAUAUUGUGAUCUACUCUCAAUAGACUUCAAGAGGUUAACUUGUGAAGUCAGUUUCUCACACGGAAAACUGUGAAAACACGUGUUUCCCUUAAAUACUGUCUUUAAAUGCAUUUAAGGCUGUAGUCAAAUGUGCAGCUGUCUGAAAUUUAAACUGUAUUCCUUAAUUUCCCAUUUCAAAUCAGCCAGGAGGUCCAUGUAUAUGCAUGAGAGCCAUCCAGCUUUACAUGAUAGAACAAAUUUUUGGAGGCAGAUCACGUUUCGAACAACUUUUAAAUGAAGGCCAAUAUCCUACAUUGUCAGCACACUCUGAAACACAAUCUGAGUUAGCCGUGUUGAAGGCAACACAAACCUCAACAUCAUAACCAUUGCAAGCUUUGAAACCCACCAAACUUUACCACUGAGCAGUCACGUAAAGGUCUGCGUGAGUCUGUUCCCUCAAAAGCCAGCCACCUACUUGCUAAAGGCACAGAGCUUAGCUAAUUGGUGAGCAUUGAUCCCUGCUAUGUGUUGUUCACAGUGGCUAAGUUCAGUGCCUGAGGUGAAAUAGUUGAUUCAACGGAGGGGAUUUGUUCCGGUGACUGGAAAGAACUUGAUGAUCUCGGAUAUGAAGAAAGGAGGAGGGAGCAGGAGAAGAGGAGUGACGAGAGAUUAGGUGGGAGGGAGGGAGAUUGGGAAGACUAAAGGUCCCAUGAAAGAGCUCUUCGGGUUAAAUGUGUUGCUGUGGACCAAAUGCAGGUCUUGAUUGUGCAAUUCUGUCCAGAGGUGAGACAAAAUGUCCUGUUUAAUAGUGUUUCCCUGAAGCAACAACUCUCUUAUUUUACUGUAUGCAUCUGGCAAGAACCAUCAUGCAUAAUAUAUUUGAGAGCGCUUUAGUGAGACAGAUUGACCCGGGUUUAAUGUGGACUUAAAAAUGCCACAGGUUGUACUGCAAUUUUAGGAAUGUGUUGCUAAAUGUCAGACCCGUCUGGGCAUGCCCAGUUCAGGUCAAAAUGAGUUUGCUCAGGACUAGUGUGCCAGUGUUAUGGUGCCACACGGCAGCCUGGACUUGUGUUGGGAACGGUUGGGAACCUAUAUAAACCUCGUUAGCUGUUUGAUAAACCCCUCCCCAAGCAGUGAUUGUCUAAUCAUAACUUAGCAACCUUAACUAAGCACGGAAAGCCUGUCAAGCUUUGAAUUUCAAGCUAAAAUGAUGUGCAUGGGCCUGUAGUACUGAGUAAAUACUCACAAUUUAAAGAGUUUAAAGAUUUGUGUCUUUUUUUUUAAUCAAAAACAACAGAGCAAAAGUGUUUGAAAUGGAUUAAACAGUGCGUUUAUCUGUUCAGUCUCCAGCUACAGUUGUUAGUAUGUCUAUCAUACUACUUCCAAGGCCAAGGAGUACAUCAUUAACUCACAUCAUUAAUCUGUAGAGUUACAGAUUACUGGAAAAAGGCCUGUUUACAACUACCUGUGUAUUAUUUCUCCACUGUGUGGAUGUUAUCAGAGUGUAGGUAGUGUUAGCAGAUUUUGUCCUGUUCUUUAUUUGAUUUGGGGAAGUUUACAUUCAGUCAACGUUACUUUAUAUAUUUCAGUCAUCACCCUAAAACCCUUUUCUCUUGUAAUGUUAUAAGUAAAAACUGGUGGAAAUACAAAACAGUUAAAAAGAUAUAUAUUAGAGCAAAUUAACAGCCGGAUUUUACAUUUUUCCUUGUCAUUCAUACAAUAAUACUAAUAAGACUAAAUAAGCUAGGUCUACCCUGCAAUACAAAAACAAUGCUGCUUCUUUAAUUUCCUGUUUUUUAUAUUAUAUUAUCAACUGGUGAGGAUGCUGACUUUGCCUGGAACAUUAGUCUCAGUGUUUUAGCAUUGUAAUAAUAAAGAUUUUUCCCAUUUCCCGAUUUUUUUGAAGAUUCUCAUUUUAAACGAGUCACAUGGACACAAAAAAGCAUUGUUAACCUUUAAACUAAAUAGCUAAAUUGAUAUAAUCUACCUAUGACAGUUGACAUUUCAGGCAGAAAAAUCUUGUUGCUCUCUAGAAAUGAAAAAAUGCAUUUUUCUAUGACUAUCAGAAAUUAAGGAUGAUAAUUACUAAGAAUGUUUAGAAUAAUUGUUGUAAUCCCGCUGCUGUUAUCGCAGCAUAUGUGCCAUGCGACACUCAGACAGCUUGACAGGCAUAGCAGCUGCUGGUAAAUUUACCCUGUUCUUAAACUGCAUGUUAGAUAUCAUAUGCUGCUAACUAAAAUCCUCGUGUAUUAGAAGGCAGAUUACACACAUGCCAAACUCUGCCAUGUCUGGGCUGUGCCCUCCCGUGCCUACUGAACUGGUAUCAGUGUUUUAUCUGAAAACUGGCUCAGUUCAGCAGGAACAGGAGUGGAGCCCACUAACUAGCUGGAUCAAUGUCCCGUGUUACCUCACCAACUUCCACUGAACAUGCAGCUAUACAGCCCAGCCCAGAUUCAACAUUUCUCUUGCAGUGCUCUAGUGUUGAGUUGACCACGCCCAGCACAGAGCGGUGUUUGCCUUGAGUGCCCUGAUGAAAAUCAAACCUGAACCCUCCAACCUGUCAGAGGAUGGCACUGAACCCUGAAGUCUAUUCAAGGCGGUACAGCUCGUGUUAGAUGACUGUCCCUUUCUUUGCUAAAAUAUGAAUGUUUCAUAAGCAGAUUUACCAUUUUUUGCUUGAUAGGUAGGCUCUGCUGUCCUGAGCCACUGUGUGAAUACUGUUACAUACUGAUGCAGUCGAUCUUGUUGUUCUGCUCAGCCUUCAUGUUUAAAUUCAGCAUUCUUCCCUUGAAAAGGCUGCAAACACGUCUCUCAUCCUUCCCUAUGUCUCUCUUUCUCUCUCUCUCUCUCUCUCUCUCUCUCUCUCUCUCUCUCUCUCUCUCUCUCUCUCUCUUUUCUGUCUUUCUGUGCUGUCAAAGGCCAGACUGAGACUGGAGUUCAUUGUCAGGUAAUCCUGGUGAAAUGUCUGCUAUGCCUGUAUAAUUGAUGUCACCCAGCAGUCCCCAUUAAUAGUCACUGGGAAUGUGUGCAAUGCUGCUUCCUCCCCACAUUCCAGAUAACUCACAAGCUACCAAAGGAAAAGUGCUUCAUCUUGAAGAUUUCACAGCGUACAGGAAAAUGAAAGCUCAUUAGCUAGCAUGAUGAAUCUGCUCUUAUCCAGCAACUCCACUGAUCGUGGUUGGCACCAUAAAAUUAUAUUUCUUAUUUUACUUUGAGUUUCUACAAAUAAAUGUUUCAUUCCAACCUUAAGGAGAUUGCGCAAAGAAAGGUUAGAGAGUUAUUUAUUUCAUUGUGUCAGCGGUGUGAUAUUGACUUCAAGGCAUUGCUUCAGCCAAGGAGUACCACUGACAAGUUAGCUAUGAUUUGUGUAAGCAUUUCAUUAAACUGAACGUUGAAGACAAUGGUGCAUGAAGUGCAUUAUUCUAAAUGUCAGUAAGUUUCUAACUACUUUCAGCCAUUUGGAGCAUGAUUUAUUUUGAUGUUACACAUGCAACUUAUGUUUCAUUUCAUUACUAAUUCAGCCACCAUUUAAUGUAAUAAAGAUUCAAUGAGCCUGAGAAGAAA